rnacentral:lncRNA from 1 species
GUACCAGGCACUGUGCUGGAGAUGACAAAGAUACAGGCUUCCAUCUCUAGACAUUCAUGCUAAUAGGUAAUUGUCCUAAGUUCUAUGAAUGUAUAUGUGGUGCUGUAUGAGCACAGAAGAAAGAAUUUUUGCCUGGGUUUAUGGAGGGCAGGGGACAGGAAUGAGGUCUCUGAAUCAGUAGCACUGGAGAGGGUUUUGAAGGCAGAGAGGUAAGGACAUGGAAUACAGGCAAGGAAUUGGGUCUCAUCAUGGAACAGUGAGAGAGGCAGGGUCUCCAGGGAUUCCUGAACGUAAUCCCAUGAAGUUCUGGAAUCACCGAGGUCUGAGAACCAGAUGCAGCCCACAGACCUGUUUUGUCUGACCUGCAUUGUUUUACAGCUUGGACCAUGUCUCAUAAAACUCCAGAUUCCUGGCUUCUUAAACAUCUGGCAAUACUGUCCCAAUUCCUUCCAGGCCAUGAGCAGCUGGGACUGAGAGGCAACCACGCCCUUGGACCCAUCCCCCACUUCGCUCCCUUAUCUUAUGUCUGACCCUAUAGGCAUUCAGUUAACGAUUCCUGACCUCCCCCAGCCCACCACCCUUGUACAGAUAAGGAAACUGAAACCCAGGGACAUACCCAUCUCGUUCAAUGGCACCACUGCAUUGUGACUGAGCCAGGAGUCUUUACCCCAAACCAAGCCAGACUCAAAGCCGCUGCUUCUUCCUUUAUGUGGUCCCAGUUAAACUCCUGGCCUUGGCUCUCUGUGUAAAGAGAAAACAUAAUCCUAACCAUCUUCAUGACUGAUUGGCAAUAUUUUCACUGUGACUUUUCCUCCAGAGACAUGUAAAGAUAUCACCGUGAGUUUGUUAAGAUAAUCUUUCCUUUAGAGUUCUGCUGUUCCUUGUCAUUUUGCCCGUGAGGAUGGCCUGUUGGCCGCACGGGGACGACAGUCAAGAGAGAACCGUGACCUUGUUUGCAUUGCGUUGCUGAUACACACGAGUCUUUGACACAGGCCAUCCAUGAGCCUCACAACCUCCUGGCAUAGCAGGUAUUAAUUACUGUUCACCACUUAUUGGAGGAGGAAACGGACGUUCCAAGAUAUUAAAUGGCUUGUUCAAGGUCACACAGCUCAUGAACGACUGGUUCCAAAGUCCCCUGCCCUCUCCACCGCGCCUGGCCGCUCAGAGCCCAUGAUGAAGUGAUUUGGGUAGAGCGAGGUCAGGCCACAUCUCUUAACCAAGUAGCCAGUCCUGGGCUUAAAAAUUAUUUGUUUCCAACUCUUUUUCUCUUUUCCGUCCCCGUAUUGACAGGAACAGCUGUCUUCUUUUUAAAAGGGCUACUUCCAUCUCUUUCAUUUUAUUGUUUCCACGUCUUUGAUUGUUUUGGAACAAGUCCGAUGGUGGAGACGGAACAGGGAGAUCACGAAGACAGCCUCUCCUUUAAAAAAUGACCAUGAUCUCACGCCUCCUCCCAACCCAGUGGAAACUGGAGCACCGCUCAAGGAGACGCUGCUGUCACAGGAUCCUGCUUACAGGCACGAAAGCUGGGAAAUUUCAGAGCCAAUCUGGGCCAGGGGAGGCUGGAGCUCGUGAGCUGGGCUGGAAAUGAUUCUUCCAGACUGCAGAGAAGACAGUGGCCUGCCCGCCGGCCGGCCUGCCUGCCCUCCCCGAGGCAAACAGGAAAUCCCAGAAUUUAUAGAUGACCCCGUUACAAGUGAAGAAACUGAG